rnacentral:lncRNA from 1 species
AGUGAGCUGUGGUGUAGGUCUCAGACGCGACUCAGAUCUGGUGUUGCUGUGGCUGUGGCAUAGGCCAGCAGAUACAGCUCUGAUUUGACCCCUAGCCUGGAAAUUUCCAUAUGCCAUGGGUACAGCCCUAAUAAGACAAAAAAAAAAAAAAAAAAAAACCGCACACACACAAUUUCUUCAAAAACUUAAACACAGUGUUACCUUAUGAGUCUACAGUUCCACUCCUGUGUACCCAAUGAAAAUAUAUGUCCAUACAAAAAUUUGUGCACAAAUGUUCAUAAUAUUAUUCAUAUUAGCUCAAAAGCAGAGACAACCCAGAUGUCCAUCUGAUCAAUACCUAAAUAAAAUGUGGUUUAUCCAUACAAUGGAAUAUUAUUUGGCAAUAAAGAGGAAUGAAGUACUUGAGGACCACAAAUCCUGUGAUUCCAUUCAUAUGACAUGUCCAGAAUAAGCAAAUCUAUAGAGACAAAAGUAGGUUAGUGGUUGCCUAUGUCAACAUGAAGUGAGGGGGUGCAGAAUGACUGCUAAUGAGUACUGGCUUCUCUUAGAGGGAACAAAAAUAUUAUAAAAUUAGAUUGUAGUGAUGGUUACACCACUGGUGGAUAUAUUAAAAGAUAUUUAAUUAUAUACUAUGAAUGGGUGAAUUGUAUGGAAUGUAGACUACAUCUGAAUAAAGCUUUUGUAAAGAGACAAUGGUGGCUUGAAUUAGCAUGGUAUCUGUGUAGAUUGUGCAAAGUGAUAUGAAUCUGUAUAUAUUUUGAAGGUAGAGUAAGAAGGACUUUCUGACAUAUUGUGAGUGGUACGAAAGAAAGCGAGGGCUCAAAGAUUUUGCUCUAAGCAACUGGAAUGUUGGAGUGAGCAACUAAGAGAGAGAAGACUGUGAAAGGCACAGUUUCAGGUAAUAAGAGUUCAAUUUGGAUGUGUCUAGUUGAAGAUGUCAAGAAGGUGGAAGGAAUAUAUAUGUGUGUGUGUGUGUAUACGUAUAUUUCACGUGUGUGUGUGUAACAUAUAAUGAAUGAUAUAUAACUCCAGACAGUGAGUUGAACUAGCAUUGCAAAAUAAUCUGUUAACAUAUGGAUAGAAUUGAAAACCAUAAGAAUGGAUGAGAUCACCAAGGGAGUGUGGAUAGCUAGAGAAGAGAUGAGGUCUAAGGACUGGUCCCUGGGACAGUCCAACAUUAAAAUGUUGGGGAAAUGAGGAAGAACCAGUAAAGAAGAUUGAGCAUGAAUAACUAGUGAGAUAAAAGGAAAAUCAAAAGUGUAUGCUGUCCUGGAAGCCAAGUGAAAAAAUGCUUUGAGGUGGAAGGAGUGACCAACUGUGUCAUAUGCUGCUGACAAAUGAAGUGAGGUGAAGGCUGAGAUGUGACCAUUGGACUUAACAACUGUGCAGUCAUGGGUGUCUUUGUCAAGAGCAGUUUUGAUGGUGCUAAGUGGAAUAGUCUGAUUGGAAUACAUUUAGGAGAAAAUAUAAGGAGACAAGGCAUUUCCAUACACCACCACCAAGAAUCAAAAAUGCAAUUUUUAAAAAGAUGCUGUAGCAAUAACAAUAUAAGGUAUCUAUAAAGAAAAUCUAACAAAGAUGUGCCAGAGAUCUCUUAUGGAGGAAAUUAUAAAACUUUAUUGAAAUAGAGAGCCAUGUCCUCUACCGGUAGGGCUACUCAAUAUUGUAAAGAUAGCCUUUCUCCCUGAAUCAAUCAUAGUCAGUGUAAUUCCAAUCAAAAUCUCAAUAGGGUUUUUCAUGGAAUGUGACAAACUGGUUCUACAAUUUGUAGGGGCAUGCAAAGAAAAGCCAAGGCAUUCUUGAAGAGCAACAAGGCAGAAAAACUUACUCUAUCAAAUAAUAAGAUUUAUCAUACAGCUAAAGUACUUAAAUGAGUGUAAUAUUGGCACAGAGUUUUGACAAAUAAGCCAAUGGAACAGAAUAGAAAACUCAAAAAUAGACUUACACUUGUUUAGAAAUUUGAUGUAUGAUGAGUGGCCCUGCAGAUCAGUGGGAGAAAUGAUUAAUUCUAUAAUGAUAAAUGUUGGGAAAAUUGGUUAGCCAUAAAGAAUAAAAUUAGAUUCCCAUCUCACAUCAAACACAAAAAUCAUUUCUGGAUAUAUUAAUACUUUAAACUUUUUAGAAGAAAAUAUAAUUCAGAGGUUCUCAACUGGCAAUACUUCCAUACAGGGAACAUUCAAAAAUGUAUUGAACUGUUUGGGGUUUUUAUAAUGAUGGGAACAGGCAUUUGGUACCCAAGGUCCAGGGAUGUUAAGUGUUCUGCAGUGUGAGAGCCAGCCCCACAUAAAGAAUAAGUGUCCUGCCCCAAAUGCCAGUAACCUCCCUGCUCACAAAGAAACAUUAAGAUAGGAAAAUUUCUCUGUGAUAUUGGGAUGGGGGAAAUGUCUUUAAAGAAAUACAAAAACAGGAGUUCCCAUUGUGGCUCAGCAGAUUAAGAACCUGACAAGUAUCUGAGGGUCCAGGUUCGAUCCCUGGCCUCACUCAGUGAGUUAAGGAACUGGCAUUGCCACAAGCUGCAGUGUAGGUCACAGAUGCAGCUCGGAUCCAGUGUUGCUGUGGUUGUGGUGUAGGUCGGUAACUGCAGCUCCAAUUCGACCCCUAGCUCCAGAACGUCCAUAUGCCACGGGCGUAGCCUUAAAAAGAAAAAAAAAAAA